AGCGGAGAGCAAGCUUGCUUGCUCUGCCGGCGACCGGCGCACGUGUGAGUAACACGUAUGCAACCUGCCCUCCGCAGGGGGAUAACCCGGAGAAAUCCGGACUAAUACCGCGUGGUACACCAGUGGGGCAUCCCACGGGUGUUAAAAGGAAGUGAUUCCGGCGGAGGAUGGGCAUGCGGCGCAUUAGCUGGUUGGCGGGGUAACGGCCCACCAAGGCGACGAUGCGUAGGGGUUCUGAGAGGAAGGUCCCCCACACUGGUACUGAGACACGGACCAGACUCCUACGGGAGGCAGCAGUGAGGAAUAUUGGUCAAUGGGCGGGAGCCUGAACCAGCCAAGUCGCGUGAGGGAAGACGGUCCUAUGGAUUGUAAACCUCUUUAGGCGGGGAGCAAUGCCGGGCACGCGUGCCCGGAGGGAGAGUACCCGCAGAAUAAGCAUCGGCUAACUCCGUGCCAGCAGCCGCGGUAAUACGGAGGAUGCGAGCGUUAUCCGGAUUUAUUGGGUUUAAAGGGUGCGUAGGCGGAUUUUUAAGUCAGCGGUAAAAUGUCCGGGCUCAACCCGGGCCGGCCGUUGAAACUGGGGAUCUUGAGUGGGCGAGAAGUAUGCGGAAUGCGUGGUGUAGCGGUGAAAUGCAUAGAUAUCACGCAGAACUCCGAUUGCGAAGGCAGCAUACCGGCGCCCGACUGACGCUGAGGCACGAAAGCGUGGGGAUCGAACA
rnacentral:rRNA from 1 species